AUAUAGUUCAGUGGUAGAGUGCUUGUCUAGCAUACAUGAGGCUGUGGGUUUGAUUCCCAGUAU
rnacentral:tRNA from 1 species